UUCCUGGUGGCUCAGAUGGUAAAGCGUCUGCCUGCAAUGCAGGAGACCCGGGUUCGAUUCCUGGGUUGGGAA
rnacentral:tRNA from 1 species